AACGGCCGUACUAUGCUAAAUAUACCGGUUCUCGUUAGAUCACCGAAGUUAAGCAUCAUAUCAGUACUUUAAAGGUGGGUGACCACCUGGGGACACUGCGUGCCGUU